GGCCUAGUGGUUAAGUGGUUAAAGUAUCCGCCUCGGAUGUGGAAGGUCGUGGGUUCGAAUCCCUGCCGAGUCA